GAUGAACGCUGGCGGCGUGCCUAAUACAUGCAAGUCGAGCGAACAGACGAGGAGCUUGCUCCUCUGACGUUAGCGGCGGGCGGGUGAGUAACACGUGGAUAACCUACCUAUAAGACUGGGAUAACUUCGGGAAACCGGAGCUAAUACCGGAUAAUAUAUUGAACCGUAUGGUUCAAUAGUGAAAGACGGUUUUGCUGUCACUUAUAGAUGGAUCCGCGCCGCAUUAGCUAGUUGGUAAGGUAACGGCUUACCAAGGCAACGAUGCGUAGCCGACCUGAGAGGGUGAUCGGCCACACUGGAACUGAGACACGGUCCAGACUCCUACGGGAGGCAGCAGUAGGGAAUCUUCCGCAAUGGGCGAAAGCCUGACGGAGCAACGCCGCGUGAGUGAUGAAGGUCUUCGGAUCGUAAAACUCUGUUAUUAGGGAAGAACAAAUGUGUAAGUAACUAUGCACGUCUUGACGGUACCUAAUCAGAAAGCCACGGCUAACUACGUG
rnacentral:rRNA from 1 species